UGCAGUCGAGCGGACAGAAGGGAGCUUGCUCCCGGAUGUUAGCGGCGGACGGGUGAGUAACACGUGGGUAACCUGCCUGUAAGACUGGGAUAACUCCGGGAAACCGGAGCUAAUACCGGAUAGUUCCUUGAACCGCAGGUUCAAGGAUGAAAGACGGUUUCGGCUGUCACUUACAGAUGGACCCGCGGCGCAUAGCUAGUUGGUGGGGUAAUGGCUCACCAAGGCGACGAUGCGUAGCCGACCUGAGAGGGUGAUCGGCCACACUGGGACUGAGACACGGCCCAGACUCCUACGGGAGGCAGCAGUAGGGAAUCUUCCGCAAUGGACGAAAGUCUGACGGAGCAACGCCGCGUGAGUGAUGAAGGUUUUCGGAUCGUAAAGCUCUGUUGUUAGGGAAGAACAAGUGCGAGAGUAACUGCUCGCACCUUGACGGUACCUAACCAGAAAGCCACGGCUAACUACGUGCCAGCAGCCGCGGUAAUACGUAGGUGGCAAGCGUUGUCCGGAAUUAUUGGGCGUAAAGGGCUCGCAGGCGGUUUCUUAAGUCUGAUGUGAAAGCCCCCGGCUCAACCGGGGAGGGUCAUUGGAAACUGGGAAACUUGAGUGCAGAAGAGGAGAGUGGAAUUCCACGUGUAGCGGUGAAAUGCGUAGAGAUGUGGAGGAACACCAGUGGCGAAGGCGACUCUCUGGUCUGUAACUGACGCUGAGGAGCGAAAGCGUGGGGAGCGAACAGGAUUAGAUACCCUGGUAGUCCACGCCGUAAACGAUGAGUGCUAAGUGUUAGGGGGUUUCCGCCCCUUAGUGCUGCAGCUAACGCAUUAAGCACUCCGCCUGGGGAGUACGGUCGCAAGACUGAAACUCAAAGGAAUUGACGGGGGCCCGCACAAGCGGUGGAGCAUG
rnacentral:rRNA from 1 species